GUUGAACGCUGGCGGCAGGCCUAAUACAUGCAAGUCGAACGAGCGGCGGACGGGUGAGUAAUGUCUGGGAAACUGCCCUAUGGAGGGGGAUUACUACUGGAAACGGUAGCUAAUACCGCAUAUCAUCGGAUCUUCCCCGAUGGGAUUAGCUAGUAGGUGUGGUAAAGGCUCACCAAGGCGACGAUCCCUAGCUUGUAUGAGCGGAUGACCAGCCACACUGGAACUGAGACACGGUCCAGACUCCUACGGGAGGCAGCAGUGGGGAAUAUUGCGCAAUGGGCGCAAGCCUGAUGCAGCCAUGCCGCGUGAGUGAAGAAGGCCUUCGGGUUGUAAAGUACUUUCAGCGGGGAGGCGUUACCCGCAGAAAAAGCACCGGCUAACUCCGUGCCAGCAGCCGCGGUAAUAC
rnacentral:rRNA from 1 species